rnacentral:rRNA from 1 species
CCUACGGGAGGCAGCAGUGAGGAAUAUUGGUCAAUGGGCGCGAGCCUGAACCAGCCAAGUAGCGUGAAGGAUGACUGCCCUACGGGUUGUAAACUUCUUUUAUAAAGGAAUAAAGUGAGGCACGUGUGCCUUUUUGUAUGUACUUUAUGAAUAAGGAUCGGCUAACUCCGUGCCAGCAGCCGCGGUAAUACGGAGGAUGCGAGCGUUAUCCGGAUUUAUUGGGUUUAAAGGGUGCGCAGGCGGAAGAUCAAGUCAGCGGUAAAAUUGAGAGGCUCAACCUCUUCGAGCCGUUGAAACUGGUUUUCUUGAGUGAGCGAGAAGUAUGCGGAAUGCGUGGUGUAGCGGUGAAAUGCUUAGAUAUCACGAAGAACCCCGAUUGCGAAGGCAGCUUACUAAACUGUGACUGACAUUGAUGCUCGAAAGUGUGGGUAUCAAACAGGAUUAGAUACCCCAGUAGUC